AUGAAUGGACGCUUUCUAGAUGCUACAACGGAUGAGCUUAAUGUGAGUGAUGUUACAUGUAUUAUCUGCUGUGAAGAGACGACAACAGCAAAGAAGCUGCUUUGUGGGCACUUGUUUCAUGUGCAUUGUCUGAGGUCAUGGCGAGAGCGCCAAAAUACUUGCCCGACAUGUAGAUCUCCCAUUGCCCCCCGGACAAUGGACGUGCUCCAUCAGCGCGAUAGCAUGAAGCCCAACUGGGAGUUAGCUUGCUGCAGGCGUCGGUGCUCCAGGUCCAGAAGGAGUAACAAGCAAGAACGUGAACAGGCGCCCAACAAAAUAGGUUGUUACAUCCCCAAAGAGGAUUCCAGCAGCAAAACUUCAAGCUUGAAUGGAAGUUGUACAAAAAAAUGCCUGGGCGUGCAAGUUUUAUGUGAAAAUGAUGCACCGGCGGUCUUUUGGAAGAAUGGGAAAAUCACAUGGAUGUCGGAUUGCAAGCACGUAGGGCAUUGCUUAUGUGGCGUACAGUUCAUAAAAACCUCCUGA
rnacentral:rRNA from 1 species